rnacentral:rRNA from 1 species
UAGGGAAUCUUCGGCAAUGGACGGAAGUCUGACCGAGCAACGCCGCGUGAGUGAAGAAGGUUUUCGGAUCGUAAAGCUCUGUUGUUAGAGAAGAACGGUAAUGGGAGUGGAAAAUCCAUUACGUGACGGUAACUAACCAGAAAGGGACGGCUAACUACGUGCCAGCAGCCGCGGUAAUACGUAGGUCUCGAGCGUUGUCCGGAUUUAUUGGGCGUAAAGCGAGCGCAGGCGGUUCUAUAAGUCUGAAGUAAAAGGCAGUGGCUCAACCAUUGUAUGCUUUGGAAACUGUAGAACUUGAGUGCAGAAGGGGAGAGUGGAAUUCCAUGUGUAGCGGUGAAAUGCGUAGAUAUAUGGAGGAACACCGGUGGCGAAAGCGGCUCUCUGGUCUGUAACUGACGCUGA